rnacentral:rRNA from 1 species
GAGGAAGCUUACAUGACAGUCGAGGGGCAGCGGGGGUGCAGGCUUGCCUGCACCUGCCGGCGACCGGCGCACGGGUGAGUAACACGUAUGGAACCUGCCCGCCACAGGGGGAUAACCCGGGGAAACCCGGCCUAAUACCCCAUGCCGCCCGGACCGGGCAUCCGGUCCGGGCGAAAGGAGGAAUCCGGUGGCGGCUGGGCGUGCGGCGCAUUAGCUUGACGGCGGGGUAACGGCCCACCGUGGCGACGAUGCGUAGGGGUUCUGAGAGGAAGGCCCCCCACACUGGAACUGAGACACGGUCCAGACUCCUACGGGAGGCAGCAGUGAGGAAUAUUGGUCAAUGGGCGGAAGCCUGAACCAGCCAAGUCGCGUGAGGGAAUAAGGCCCUACGGGUCGUAAACCUCUUUUGCCGGGGAGCAAGGGCCGGGACGCGUCCCGGCCCGGAGAGUACCCGGAGAAAAAGCAUCGGCUAACUCCGUGCCAGCAGCCGCGGUAAUACGGAGGAUGCGAGCGUUAUCCGGAUUUAUUGGGUUUAAAGGGUGCGUAGGCGGGCUUUUAAGUCAGCGGUAAAAAUUCGGGGCUCAACCCCGUCCGGCCGUUGAAACUGGGGGCCUUGAGUGGGCGAGAAGAAGGCGGAAUGCGUGGUGUAGCGGUGAAAUGCAUAGAUAUCACGCAGAACCCCGAUUGCGAAGGCAGCCUUCCGGCGCCCUACUGACGCUGAGGCACGAAAGUGCGGGGAUCGAACAGGAU